rnacentral:telomerase_RNA from 1 species
GUAGGUCGGUUUGGUUGCGUAUGUUUGUGGACCCGCUGCUCCGAACGAUGUGUCCUCGGACACCCAGGAAACAGCGAUCCAAUAACCCAAUUAACUUUAUAUCCAACGCGGUUUUUCUUAGUCAUUUGGGUUCCCAAAAAACCAGGAAAUGACCAAUGCAUAUGCUCGGACCGGCUGUUAUUUUGCCGCUGUUUU